rnacentral:rRNA from 1 species
CGGGAAAAGCUCAAAUUUAAAAUCUGAUAGUCUUUGGCUGUCCGAGUUGUAAUCUAGAGAAGCGUUUUCCGCGUUGGACCGUGUACAAGUCUUUUGGAAUAAAGCAUCAUAGAGGGUGAGAAUCCCGUCUUUGACACGGACUACCAGUGCUUUGUGAUGCGCUCUCAAA